rnacentral:rRNA from 1 species
GCUAGUUGGUGAGGUAAAGGCUUACCAAGGCGACGAUCUGUAGCGGGUCUGAGAGGAUGAUCCGCCACACUGGAACUGAGACACGGUCCAGACUCCUACGGGAGGCAGCAGUGGGGAAUUUUGGACAAUGGGGGCAACCCUGAUCCAGCCAUGCCGCGUGAGUGAAGAAGGCCUUCGGGUUGUAAAGCUCUUUCGGCCGGGAAGAAAUCGCAUGGGCCAAUACCCUGUGUGGAUGACGGUACCGGAAUAAGAAGCACCGGCUAACUACGUGCCAGCAGCCGCGGUAAUACGUAGGGUGCGAGCGUUAAUCGGAAUUACUGGGCGUAAAGCGUGCGCAGGCGGUUUUGUAAGACAGGCGUGAAAUCCCCGGGCUUAACCUGGGAACUGCGUUUGUGACUGCAAGGCUAGAGUACGGCAGAGGGGGGUGGAAUUCCACGUGUAGCAGUGAAAUGCGUAGAGAUGUGGAGGAACACCAAUGGCGAAGGCAGCCCCCUGGGUCGAUACUGACGCUCAUGCACGAAAGCGUGGGUAGCAAACAGGAUUAGAUACCCUGGUAGUCCACGCCCUAAACUAUGUCAACUAGGUGUUGGGUGGGUAAAACCAUUUAGUACCGUAGCUAACGCGUGAAGUUGACCGCCUGGGGAGUACGGCCGCAAGGUUAAAACUCAAAGGAAUUGACGGGGACCCGCACAAGCGGUGGAUGAUGUGGAUUAAUUCGAUGCAACGCGAAAAACUUUACCUACCCUUGACAUGCCAGGAACUUGCCAGAGAUGGCUUGGUGCCCGAAAGGGAGCCUGGACACAGGUGCUGCAUGGCUGUCGUCAGCUCGUGUCGUGAGAUGUUGGGUUAAGUCCCGCAACGAGCGCAACCCUUGUCGUUAAUUGCCAUCAUUUAGUUGGGCACUUUAACGAGACUGCCGGUGACAAACCGGAGGAAGGUGGGGAUGACGUCAAGUCCUCAUGGCCCUUAUGGGUAGGGCUUCACACGUCAUACAAUGGUCGGUACAAAGGGUUGCCAAGCCGCGAGGCGGAGCCAAUCCCAGAAAGCCGAUCGUAGUCCGGAUUGCAGGCUGCAACUCGCCUGCAUGAAGUCGGAAUCGCUAGUAAUCGUGGAUCAGCAUGUCACGGUGAAUACGUUCCCGGGUCUUGUACACACCGCCCGUCACACCAUGGGAGCGGGUUCCGCCAGAAGUAGGUAGCCUAACCGCAAGGGGGGCGCUUACCACGGCGGGGUUCGUGACUGGGGUGAAGUCGGAACAAGGUAGCCGUAGGGGAACCUGCGGCUG